rnacentral:lncRNA from 14 species
AUGGGCCCACGAUGGGACCGGAUUGAGGGCGCUCCGCGGCCGCCAUGGCUCCCUUACCUCAAGGCUGCGGCCGGGAAAGAGGAAGCGCAGAGGCCGCCGGGAGCCGGGAAGACGCGCAAGCUCUCGCGAGAGGUCGGGCGCGAUCUCGGCCACGGAGCGUCGCUGAGCACCAGGUCUAAGCCCACAAGAUGGCAGCGGGUCCGUGCCUCAGGAGCUGCCUCCAGAGCCCUCGCUGGCCGGGGAGCAGAGCUCUUCUAUCGGGAAAGGUCUCAGUGGAGCCAAGGCGAGGUGUUGCUCUGUCACUGCUCGUUUGUGGAUUUCAUUGCCAGAAAUGGACCAGCCAAUCGACUUGAUAAGUAAGGCAGUAAAUAAAAAUAUCAUGUAAGUGCCUGAUCA